AACGCCGCGUGAGCGAUGAAGGCCUUCGGGUCGUAAAGCUCUGUUGUUAGGGAAGAACAAGUACCGUUCGAAUAGGGCGGUACCUUGACGGUACCUAACCAGAAAGCCACGGCUAACUACGUGCCAGCCACUGCGGUGACUGAGCGGGCUGGCAAGGCGCAUA
rnacentral:rRNA from 1 species